GGCAUUAUUAUUUGUCGAACUGCGCUCGGAAUCGUCUUUCGUCAACCAAUGGUUUAUCGUUGCUUACGGACAUAAAUUAAUUGGCCUUACGCAUCCUACCUCCUCAACUUCUCACCUAAAACAGUGGCCACUCCCAUCCCCAGUAUCAGGUCUUUUUUUUUUUUUUUCUGGUAACAGCGCCUCACCGAGAAGAUAACAUACUGUG